rnacentral:rRNA from 1 species
GACGAACGCUGGCGGCGUGCCUAAUACAUGCAAGUAGAACGCUGAAGGAGGAGCUUGCUUCUCUGGAUGAGUUGCGAACGGGUGAGUAACGCGUAGGUAACCUGCCUGGUAGCGGGGGAUAACUAUUGGAAACGAUAGCUAAUACCGCAUAAGAGUAGAUGUUGCAUGACAUUUGCUUAAAAGGUGCAAUUGCAUCACUACCAGAUGGACCUGCGUUGUAUUAGCUAGUUGGUGGGGUAACGGCUCACCAAGGCGACGAUACAUAGCCGACCUGAGAGGGUGAUCGGCCACACUGGGACUGAGACACGGCCCAGACUCCUACGGGAGGCAGCAGUAGGGAAUCUUCGGCAAUGGACGGAAGUCUGACCGAGCAACGCCGCGGGAGUGAAGAAGGUUUUCGGAUCGUAAAGCCCUGUUGUAAGAGAAGAACGAGUGUGAGAGUGGAAAGUUCACACUGUGACGGUAUCUUACCAGAAAGGGACGGCUAACUACGUG